rnacentral:rRNA from 1 species
UACGGAGGGUGCGAGCGUUGUUCGGAAUUAUUGGGCGUAAAGCGCACGUAGGCGGCCUGGUAAGUCUCACUGUGAAAGCCCGGGGCUCAACCCCGGGAGGCCAGGGGAUACUGCAAGGCUGGAGACAGGUAGAGGCUGGUAGAAUUCCGGGUGUAGCGGUGGAAUGCGUAGAGAUCCGGAGGAAUACCUGAGGCGAAGGCGGCCAGCUGGGCCUGAUCUGACGCUGAGGUGCGAAAGCGUGGGGAGCGAACAGG